CCAGCCUGGGGGUGGAAGGAUUCUGGAACCAAUUACAAUGUUGGAAAUGAGUUCCGCACCAACAAGCAAGUUUCCAACACCAGCUGGGUGUCCUACAAUUCA